AGUUUAUGAGCUUGUACCAAGCAUAUAUUUUGAAAAUAUAAGAAAGAAUUAGUUUUCUAUAAACUU
rnacentral:tRNA from 2 species